CCCUGGACCCAGGGACUGGUGCAGAAAGUCAGGUCUCACCAAUCGGAGCGAGGCAUUCCCUAGGUCAAAGCCAUGGGCCAAUCUUGGGCUCAUGACCUCAUUUAGACCCGCAGGUCCUGGGGGAGGGCUUUGGGGGAGGUUCUUUCCUCUUAAGAAAGGCCUGUGGGAGCUGAUGCUAUGGCACUGGGGUGCCGGCCAGGAGCUGCAGAGCUACGCAUGAAUAAAAAGAGGCUGUGCUCAGGCGGCGGCGUGGCUGUGAACUGGCCAUGGAGGAGGGGAGGAGCACUAUCAGGGCAAGAUCCCCAAGGCCUGGUGGUCUCCAUGGGCCCCAUUAAACACCUGAGGAUUAAAGAUUCCAAGAAGCCUGGAUCCUCCCCACUCCAUAUUGCUGCCUGACAGGGUUUUUCAGCCUCAGCACCACUGACAUUUGGGACGGAUCAUUCUCCCUGCUGUGGCCACCCCAUGCACUGCAGGCAGCUGAGCAGCAUCCUCGGCCUCCACCCGUGAGAGACCUGCACCACCCACCUCCGACGCCACCACCCAAAGCCUCUGCAGACACUUCCCGGUGUCCCCGGAUGGCAAAACUGGCCUGUGGAGGACCAGCGACCUGCCCCAGUGUUUACUGUGUGUGCAAAUACUCUCUGAGCCCCUGUAUGUGCCCGAGCUUGCCUGAGGUCUAGUGUGGCUGUGGCCAGUGGUGACACUAGAAAAAAACAGCAAACACGGGGCCUCGGCAUGCACCAAACUGGGCCAGAACCCACCGCAGCCAUGAGCUCUGGAACCCGCACUGCAAACAUGAGACCUCACCGUGCACCAACCUGGGCUGGAACCCACUGCAGCCGUGAACUCUGGAACCCACACAGCAAACAUGAGGCCUCACCAUGCACCAACCUGGGCUGGAACCCACUGCAGACGUGAACUCUGGAACCCACACAGCAAACAUUGGAGGGAAACACUGUCACUUCUACUUUACAGGCAUAAACACUGAAGUGCAGAGCAUUUGGGUGCAUCAGAAUUUUAACUCUUCAGCCCUGCAGGCCUCGCUUUCAGACAUUCUGCUUCAGUAGGGCUGGAAGGGGUCCUGGGGAGCCCCACUGCAGGGAACCAGAAACCAACUGGAAGAGCCGGUGUCCAGCAGGCCCCAGAGCUCCUCAGAGCCUCAGAUGGGGUUGGAGGGCCUUCCCCUGCUCCAUCCUUCCCCCAAAUACUGGUUGUUCCUUUCAUUCAAUAGAUGCUCAAAUCUUACACAAUUUAAACAGACAUUCCUAAGAGCACUGUAUUUGCAUGUAAUUUGACUGUUUUCUUGUAGUAGUUGUAAAAGGGGAAGGAAAAUCUAUUCCAGUUAAUUGUAGGUUCUGUGGAACUGGAGUUAGAUCACAUCACUAUUGAAACCAGCUUAUUAUUGAUCGGAAAUGUGACAGGCCUGGGUCCACGGGCACACGUGUUGCCAGAAGCCUUUGUCACUCCAUGGCUGACAUCUCUGCAUUGUUUUUCAGCUGGUAAUUCCUUAAAAGACUGAGACAAUAGUCAUUUAAUAUCGUUUGCUCAAAUGAACAGUUCCCCGAGCAAAUAACAAUAAUAAAAAAAAGUCCCUGAGAAGCCAAUUAGACUCUGCAGCUUGUACCAAGCAAUGGCCUUUCUAAUAGACGCCCUUUUUACAAGUGCAG
rnacentral:lncRNA from 1 species